rnacentral:tRNA from 1 species
UGGGGUGUAGCUCAGUGGUACAGCGUUUGCCUAGCAUGCACAGAACCCUGGGUUCCAUCCCCAGCACCACAA